CAAGUUUCCGCCAUAUAUUUGAACUGUUCAUUUCCAUCGUAACAUCCUUUGGCAUGUUGUCCAACCCCGAUCUCAUCACCAUCUCUUCUCCGAAGUUCCGAGCUCUUAUCCUUCGUCACUUCAAACAGCUCUCUUGUCCUCUGAACUUGUCUAACUCAUGCGUACGUGUAAAUCCAUGUAUUCAGAACGAUUGCCUCUAUUCCACAAAUGAACUAGGCUAUCGUUGCGCAAGUGGGAGAGCAGAACUAUUCAUCCACAGCGUGUCUGAUUUACCUCUUAUCUUUUUAUCAACUUCGAAUCUGUGAAAUAUGCUACAAGGACCUCACGAACGGGUCUCAGCUUUUUCCUCGAUUGAGGAGGAAGUUACAUUUGGAGGUCAAAGUAUCUCAAAUUUGUGUACGCCAUAUAAGAUAAUAUAUGGGUUUGCGAUGGAUCACGUAGCGGAGCUAGUCCCCCUAAAUGUCCAGUUUGCUACCUGGAUUGGAGGCGAAAAGGGUCACGAUGGAACAGAUAAUAGGCGAGUAAGCGUAUGGUACCCUUGGGGCAUUUACGACCAUCUGAUAUACUUCGAGCAGCAGACUGACUAUAUAGGGAGUAGACUGGAUGGGAGUCAAAGAUGAAGGGCUUCUUGAAGAACCUGGAGACAUACUUCCAAAUUAACUCGGAUGGCCACUUUCAUGCGGAUUUGAAAUUGUGGUGAUUGGGUGGCCCAAUUGGACACGUCGCAUAUUGCCCUCACUUUCGGGUUCUCUGCA
rnacentral:sRNA from 1 species